CAGCCGCCACGGUAAUACGUAGGGUGCGAGCGUUAAUCGGAAUUACUGGGCGUAAAGUGUGCGCAGGCGGUUGUGUAAGACAGGUGUGAAAUCCCCGGGCUUAACCUGGGAACUGCGCUUGUGACUGCACAGCUAGAGUAUGGCAGAGGGGGGUGGAAUUCCACGUGUAGCAGUGAAAUGCGUAGAGAUGUGGAGGAACACCGAUGGCGAAGGCAGCCCCCUGGGCCAAUACUGACGCUCAUGCACGAAAGCGUGGGGAGCAAACAGGAUUAGAUACCCCCGUAGUCCCUGUCUCUUAUAC
rnacentral:rRNA from 1 species